rnacentral:tmRNA from 1 species
GGGGCUGCACUGGUUUCGACGUGGGUUCGGACACGCAGCAGGGCAUGUCGAGGUUCUGUCACCUCGUAAAACCGCAGAAAAAAACUAACUGCAAACGACGAACGUUUCGCACUCGCCGCUUAAUUGCCGGUGAGCUUUGCAACAGCAGGCCUAUGGGCUGGGCAAGGGUUCAGACGGCGCAAGCCGCGAGAGUCCAGGCUGCAAAGAUAAUUCAAUAGGCUGG